rnacentral:rRNA from 1 species
GGCGGACGGGUGAGUAACGCGUGGGUAACCUGCCUCAUACAGGGGGAUAACAGUUAGAAAUGACUGCUAAUACCGCAUAAGACCACGGAGCCGCAUGGCUCGGUGGGAAAAACUCCGGUGGUAUGAGAUGGACCCGCGUCUGAUUAGGUAGUUGGUGGGGUAACGGCCUACCAAGCCGACGAUCAGUAGCCGACCUGAGAGGGUGACCGGCCACAUUGGGACUGAGACACGGCCCAAACUCCUACGGGAGGCAGCAGUGGGGAAUAUUGCACAAUGGGGGAAACCCUGAUGCAGCGACGCCGCGUGAGCGAAGAAGUAUUUCGGUAUGUAAAGCUCUAUCAGCAGGGAAGAAAAUGACGGUACCUGACUAAGAAGCACCGGCUAAAUACGUGCCAGCAGCCGCGGUAAUACGUAUGGUGCAAGCGUUAUCCGGAUUUACUGGGUGUAAAGGGAGCGUAGACGGCUGUGUAAGUCUGAAGUGAAAGCCCGGGGCUCAACCCCGGGACUGCUUUGGAAACUAUGCAGCUAGAGUGUCGGAGAGGUAAGUGGAAUUCCCAGUGUAGCGGUGAAAUGCGUAGAUAUUGGGAGGAACACCAGUGGCGAAGGCGGCUUACUGGA